ACCUCAUUGCAGCCUUUCAGUACCUAAAGGUGAUCUUGGGAAUUUGGAGAUGUCCCAGACAAUUGAAAGCUGACACUUUUCCAGAAGGGCAAGAAAGAAGACUCUGAUAAUUAUUGGCCUGGCUGUCUCACUUCAGUGCCUGGCAAAAUUAUGGGGAAGAUUAUUCUGAGAGUUACUGAAAAACACCUGAAAGAUAAUGGAGCCAUUGGUCAUUGUCAAAACAGAUUCACAAGGGGAAAGUCCUGUUUAAUGAACUUAAUUUCCUUUCAAGAUACAGUUACCCAGGUAGGUACCCAAGGGAAGCCAGUGGAUGCAGUUUUCUUGGACUUCAGUAAAUUUUUUGAUACUGUUUCUCAUGGUACUCUUCUGCACAAAAUGUCUGGCCUAUAGCUAGACAAAAACAUAAUGUAAUGGAUGAGAAAUUGGCUGAUGGAUUGGGCUCAAAGGGUUAUAACAAUUGGGGUUAAAUCAGGCUGCUUGCUGGUCAUUAGAGGGUUCUGCAGAACUCUCUAUUUUAGGACCAGUUCUCUGUAGAAUUCAUUGAAGACAUGGAUACAGGAUUCAAAGGUAUGCUAAGAAACUUUGUAGAUGAUACUAAACUGGAAGAAACUGUUGACUCCCUCGGGGAUAGAGAAACCUUUCAGAGAAAACUUCAUAAAUCAAAGGGCUGGGUAAUCAUUAUCUGCAUGAAGUUCAACAUGGGCAAGUGCUGGAUUCUGCACCUUGGAUGUGUACAAACUGGAGAACAAGUGGCAGAUCCCAGAUCUGACUGGGACUGGGGGGUUGUGGCUGAAUCUGAGCCAGCAGUGUGCCUUGGCAGCCCAAAGGGCCAACUGUACCCUGGGGUGCAUCAGCCCAGCACUGCCGACCAGGUGGGGGAAGGGUUGUCCUGCUCUGCUCUGUGCUGAGCAGCCUCACCUCCUGCACUGGGUGCAGCUGUGGGUGCCACAAUGUAAGAAGGACAUAAAACUGUGAGAGAGCAUCUGAAGGAGGGCUACGAAGAUGGGAAGGGGUUGGAGGGCAAAACAUAUGAGGAGUGGCUGAGUUCCUGUGGUUUGUUCAGCCCAGAGCAGAGUUGUUGAGGGGAGGCCUCAUGGUGGCUUACAGUUUCUCACAAGGGGAGUAGAAGAGCAGCCCUGAGCUCUGCCCUCUGAUGACAGUGACAGGAUCUGAGGGAACGGUAUGGAGCCGUGUCAGAGGAGAUUCAGGAUGAGAGUUAGCAUCUGCACCAGAGGGCAGUGGGCUUGGCAAAGGCUGCCCAGGGCAGUGGGCAUGGCCUCAAGCUGCCAGAAUGCAAGCUGCCAGAAUGCAAUUUGGACUCUGCUCUCAGACAUAGGGUGGUGCUGUGUUGAGCCAAAAGUUGGACUCAAUCUUCCAACUCCGGAUAUUCUAUGAUUUUCUGAUUCUAACAAAGACCUACCCUUGGUACCAAGUACCCUCAUAUUUGCCUAUGACAAAGUAAAUCCCAGAAAGGUGAUCUGUGAAUGAGCUUGGAACAAGAACUUUAGAACUUUAGAAGUAGGUGUCAAAUGCCUUCAGCCACACAGGGUAAGGGCCAUGUCAGCACGGCACUAGUCAAUUCUUCAGCUCCCAUUUGGUGUGACCUUGAUGUGGAUUUCCUUGUUCACUUAACACCCAGUAGGGAACCAAUCUGGCACUUGCAGAGUCAUUUAGGAUACAAGCUCCUGGAUUUUGUAACCUUUUAUUUUGCAGGCCUACUAAGACACAGAUAGCACUAAUGGUUUUUGUGCUAGUCAAAAAUCCCAUUUCCACCAGCAUAGGCAUUUAAUUCUCGUUUUAAAAUAGGACGUUAUAAGAUAAGGUAGAUUCAUUCUGGUGGACCUCUCUGGUACUCCUCACGAGCUGUGCUACAAAUGUGGCCUGAAGCCUGAAGACUUCAAAGAUCACAUUUCUUGGAGAUGACAACAAAACAUUCAAAAUCACUGGGAAACUUGUGGCGAAACUGUGUGUGCUCUAUGGGAUCAAAAGGAGCUCACUAGUGGGAAUACUGAGCAUGGCACUUGGGGCUUUCCCAGCAAAAUGCAUGUAUUUCCCUCCUGGAGCAAGUUCGGAUGCAACAAGAUUCCUAGCAUCAUUCUCACCCUUGGGUCUCAGUCACCCACCUCCCUCUUUUCUCCAGAUAUUCUGCCACAUGCCAUUUCUAGCAGUUGGAUUAGAAAUUACUUCUAUUUCCACUUCCUCAGAUUCAUUGCAUGUUUGUAAAAGCAUAUCUUACUAAGUCUCCUGUCGUCCAUUGUUCGUUUUUUCAGGCAAAAGGUGUAAAGAUACUGUACAUUUCUAAAGUGGGGGGGAAAAAAAAAAAAAAGGAAAAAAUACGAAAUUAUAUUUGAUCCUUUUUUAUAAAGCACAAAUUGAAGUGUUAUAUUUCUUACUGAAAGUUAUCUGACUACAGAUGAAAAAGCGUGGGAAAAACCAUGGCAGAGCAACAGCAAGAAGUAGCUCAACCCCAGUCCUUGUCAUAGAGCAUGCAGUGGACACAGAGAGUCUCCAGAGAUCUGAUGCAACUGGAGAUUUGGAAAGAAAAUGAACAAAGCCAAACUAUCCCUUGAGUGGAAUAAUUCCAGUUCAGUUUCAUAAAUCAGAUACAGUUUGGAUCUGUUGGAAAACUGUAAGAAAGAGAUCAGUCAGUACACCUGAGUACUUCUGUUGGGCUGUAAAAUCUCCAUAGUUUUGUAAUCAAUCAAUCUGUGGAGAUGGAAAAGUUCAUUCCCUGGUGAGUGCGUUCUACAGAUUCCAACUGUGUUUUUGCAGAAUCAUCUUUUUUCUCCAUUUGCCAUCCCAGGACUUUGGAAGUGGUGUUACAGUACCUCUCACAGCUAGCUCAGAGUGAGAGAGGUGUAUGAUUAGCAUUAGAACUCAUUCCCAAUGGACUGUUUGUUCUUUAUGGCUAUUUUAUUUUAUAGUCCAGCUAUUAUCCUACUCCACAAAUGUCUAAUCAGAUAGCAAGUGCUUCCUUGGGGCCUUGGGAUCCUUCAUAUAAUCUGGGGAUAACACUGAAACAGGUAAGGUCAGUGUCACCUGAAACAGAAUAAUACAUUUCCUAUUAAUAGUCUAACUGUUUUCACCUGAUUUCCAAGUGAUUGAGAAAAGCAGGCACCAUCCUUCUGCUUUCAUAUUUAGAGCAACAGCAACACUGAAGUGCAGACCUUGGGCAAGGUGAGUGGCCAGUUAAUUGCAGAGAACACAAAGAACAAGGCCAGUACAACUGUUAACACAAUCAGAAGGUAUGAAUCACUGAUCUUAGAGCCCAAAAGGCUCCUGAACUCCACACCCAUUUGAAUAAACAAUCAGAAUUUCGGUACCAUCUAUCUGCUUCUAGACUCUGCAACACUUCAUAGAUUUUUUUUCACUGAGAAAUGUUUUCCAGAUUUCUUUUACUUCUUGCCAAUGAUACAAAUACCACAAAACAGACUAUCUCAAAGUGUUCUGGCAAAUAAUUCAGGUGUUGGCCAAGAUUCUAAUACACAUUGUCUACAUUAGGCUUUUAUAACAUGUCAGCUAGCCCCUGAUAGCUACCAUGUGGUGAUAACGACUAUUCAGUCCAAGCCCUAAAUGAGAUGGAGAAAGUGCUUGAGUAAAGAAGGAACACAUCUCUGCAGUGAUGCUCCUAUUCCUACAAUUUCUGCAGUUCCUGGAAAAAGAAUGAAUUCAGAGGCCUGGACUGUUAACACAGAAAUAAGUCCUGCUCUUUCUAAACUAAUACUUAUGGUUUCUUCAACACUAUUUGUCACUACUAUAUCUUGAUCUUUUUUUCUUCCAGCUUACUGAAUUGGAUGUUGUGGAGAGCCUAGUGGUGCAAAUCACAUGUCUGUAAAGAAGGAAAAUUGAUUGUGUCACAGCAAAUGAGCUGCUGCUGGUCUGAUCAGCCUCAUGAAGUCAAGGUUUGCACUCAAGUGCCAUUAGUUUGGAGUUACAUGUCAGGACUCCUGGUACACUGUUGCUGGCAAAUUAAUGAACAUUACUCCCCAGAUGCCCUUACAGGCUGAGCUGCUAGGGGACCAGUUGUCAGUUCUGUGCAUGUAACAGGACUCCACUGAAGCCACGCAGCACUUUUCAUUCUCCGCAGCAGCAUUACGCACAUGCUCUACUGGCUCAGCUAAUCCCUGUGUUUCUCGAGAAUGGAGGUCACCUCCUGGGAGAGGACUGAAGGGAGAUUCCUCCUCCUCUGUGGAGAUGCCAAAUACAGCAACACAUGGAGCCAGUUGGUGUGAGUUCAUGAACAAAGUGUGACACGUGAAAUAAAAGAUCUAUGUAGCGGAUGUUCUUUCCUGACAUUUCCAAGUCUAUAAAAUACGAAGUGACUAAUAAAAUGCAAAAUGCAGACCUAUUUCAUCCCACGACUGCUACAGGGUGGUAGUAACUUGAGAAGGAGAAGGGAGUUAUCUGUAUAAUUGUUUCUGAUUCAAGGACAGAACUUCUUUCCUGUUUUUAAAUGAUGUGGUACAAAAGGGCAAGGAAUGAGCUCCCCUUAAUCCAGGUAUAUACAACUGAAUUACUGGCUUCCUGUGCUCCAUGAUCCCUCUCUGCUCUGACAGUGUUUUGAAAUUGCUUUUCCAGCAUUCUUCUUUGAUGUUUUUUGGAUAUCAAUGCCAAUGUCGAGACAGUCUUUUAAAUAAACAAAGUUACGAACCAGCUAAGGCUUUGAGAUGAAGGGCAAAGGUUUGAAAGAGGGCUUAUCUAUGGUUCAGCUGGGGUGCCCUGGAUGCAUCAGCAGAGGAAGUAGGCAUGGCACCGCACUGACUUCAACUUUCUUGGACCUAUUGCUGUCAUGACCUUGGAGAGCACACGGUCAAUAUUCACAGAGAAGGGCAAGGCAGCUGGUGUUUUAUGUCAAGGUUGUAACAUGGGUAGAACUCUGUCUCAGGGACAGCUGAGGGCAGUAUCCAGAGUUCUCUAAUUUUGAUACUGCAGACCUCACCACUUCUGGAGGCAAAACAAGUAACAUCUUCUAAACAUAGGCCUGUUACCUCACAGCAAUUCUUAGGGAGACUUAAUGGGACAAUUGAGCCAACACAGUCUCAAUUACAUAUAGCUAACUUCACUGUAAGUAGAAUUGUUCCCAAAGGGACUUUUGCUCUCAGAGAAGAGCAAAUACUUGACUAAGGAACUCUCAGCCUGGGAUGUGAGCAUUUUCCUCUGGAAGGGGCAAUCAGGUGUUGUGAAUAAUUCUGUCUGCUGUUGCAUGAAAUCUUGAUCUUCAUAGUUUUGUGACACAAUCCUUCUGUCCCUCGACAAGCCUAACGAAAUAGCAAAUAAGUGAAAAGUCCCCCAAAAUCUAAACAAAAACACUGUUCUUUCUCCAUUAUUUGACACGCUAUUUGCAGACAUUGUUUAUGCUUACUAUUUUCUUAGUGGUACUGUCCGCUCUUGCCCAUUCUCUUUUGCUCUACUGCCUGGAACACUGAGUUUGGCAGAAGCUGCUGGGAAAAUCUUAUCCUAAAUCUGCCAUAGCACUUUUAAUGAAAGAGAAGGUCUUAGCCAUGAUGUCCUGGCUGAAGGCCAGCCCCAGUAAUUGCAUACUGGAUUCUUGUAGUUCCACGCGCUUUCAACCAGAGUCAAGAUUCUUCAGCUCUGCCACAGGGUUUUAUGCCAUGCACUCUGAUGCUUAGUUCAUAACAAAGUAUAUGCUCCAUCAUCACCUGAGCACCCACUUCAUAACAGUCUCUGCCUUCUUUCAGCAUCACCCAAAGAUAUGUCACUUUUCUAUGCCUGAAUAAAUUUAAUCCAGAGCUGUAAUGUAAAUAUUUUUCAAGCUUUAUGUCCUGUGUUGUGCACUGAUUUAACAUAUUAAAGACCUUAGCAGAAUGCAACUAGCAGGCAUCAACUCACUAAAGAAAUCAUAGCUCUGAAUUUCUUAAUAUUUUGAAAUAAAAGUCUUAACUUUCAUGACACAUCAUUUAUAUAUUUUUACAGCAUUACAGUCAUAUUUUACAAGCUAUCUAUUCAUGUGUUUCAGUACCUCUGAUCUACCAUUUCUCAGGCCCUUGGGGAAAUGGGGAGGUUUCAUGCCCUGAUUGAAAUUCACCAGAUUCCCUUCAUGCUCCUGACUCAAGUCAUUGCAAAUAAUUCUACCUAGAUGGCAGGUCACUUGUAGUUUCAUCAAAUCAGAAACUGUAGUACAUGCUCCUGUGUAACAGAGACAGAAAAAAUAUUCAAACCCUUGAAGGUAGGACUUAUUAGAUAGUAAGUUUGUCAAUGUUUAGAUGUUUUGUUCUGUGGAAAGUUCUGAUACCAACAUUUAUUUUGGACCCACAUCUGGCAAAAUGUUGGAACAGUAAUAUUUUUUACUGAAAGCAAAUUUGUCCUUUCUCAGAAAAACUUCAGCUUCAACUUGGUUCAGUAUAACUGUGUCCCCCUUGGAACUGCUGCAGAGCCUCAUGAGGGUGAUACAUCAUGUUUUUCAGUUGACAAAGUUUCCGGGCAGCAUCCUGUGAUGUUUUGUGGCCAUUUGGCUCUCAGAGUACAUUGCAAAAAUUUAAUGAGAGAGAUGAUUAUGAUGCAUUAUGGGAGUAAGAUGUCUAUAAAUUACAGUGUCCACAAGGCACAUUAUAACUCUUGUGGACAUAAAUUAAAACUGAGCUCCUCCAUCAUGAAAUGUUUUAAUUCAGUGCUUCAAUUUAGACUCAGCUAAUUCAAAGCAAAGCAUUUUCUUUUUCCCACUGGGGAUUAAAAAUCUUGAACAAAAUGCCAUGGGGAAAUUCAGAGUUCUUAAAGACUGCAUCUCCAUUCAGAAAAAGAUGUUCAUGGGAAAUAUACGACCUCUUAUUAUACAUACUCAAUUUCCAUAUAUUUAUAUAAAUGUGUAGAUAUACAUAUAUAUAUACUGUAACAAAUAAAGAAAUACAAGCCAGAUCUGUUAAAUAUAGCUCAAUAUACACUUGGUGAUAUAUAAAUUGCAGUUUGAUGUAUAACAAGAAAGUAGCAAGUUGGUCACAGGAAGUCAAAGAACAUUUUUUUUCUAAUCCCUAUACAGAUGAAUCUAUAUAUUACAAGCUCAGCCCCCUGGAAGUUAUUUUGCUCAGUCUGUAAGGAAUAAGGGCAAGAGAAAGAAGAGGAAAAGAUUGUGCAGUUCACCCUUACCUUGGUGUGUGCCUAGUACUGCCAGGCCCCCUAUGACUUCAUUAUUAUUCCAUAAUAACAUAUAACAUAUAGCAUAAUAACAUUCUUAACAAUUUGGAAACUUCUAA